rnacentral:rRNA from 1 species
CCUACGGGAGGCAGCAGUGGGGAAUAUUGGUCAAUGGACGAGAGUCUGAACCAGCCAAGUAGCGUGAAGGAUGACUGCCCUAUGGGUUGUAAACUUCUUUUAUAUGGGAAUAAAAUGUUCCACGUGUGGGAUUUUGUAUGUACCAUAUGAAUAAGGAUCGGCUAACUCCGUGCCAGCAGCCGCGGUAAUACGGAGGAUCCGAGCGUUAUCCGGAUUGAUUGGGUUUAAAGGGAGCGUAGGUGGAUUGUUAAGUCAGUUGUGAAAGUUUGCGGCUCAACCGUAAAAUUGCAGUUGAAACUGGCAGUCUUGAGUACAGUAGAGGUGGGCGGAAUUCGUGGUGUAGCGGUGAAAUGCUUAGAUAUCACGAAGAACUCCGAUUGCGAAGGCAGCUCACUGGACUGCAACUGACACUGAGGCUCGAAAGUGUGGGUAUCAAACAGGAUUAGAUACCCCAGUAGUC